UACGUAGGGUGCGAGCGUUAAUCGGAAUUACUGGGCGUAAAGGGUGCGCAGGCGGUCUUGUAAGUCAGAUGUGAAAUCCCCGGGCUUAACCUGGGAACUGCGUUUGAAACUACAAGACUAGAGUGUAGCAGAGGGGGGUGGAAUUCCACGUGUAGCAGUGAAAUGCGUAGAGAUGUGGAAGAACACCGAUGGCGAAGGCAGCCCCCUGGGUUAACACUGACGCUCAGGCACGAAAGCGUGGGGAGCAAACAGGAUUAGAUACCCUGGUAGUCCACGCCCUAAACGAUGUCAACUAGUUGUCGGGUCUUUAUAGAUUUGGUAACGUAGCUAACGCGUGAAGUUGACCGCCUGGGG
rnacentral:rRNA from 1 species